GAUAGGAGAAUAUAUGGGUUUGGCACCAUGGUGUGGAUAGGCAAAACAAUUUGGUUGAUAAGGUGCAGAUCCUGAAAUAACCUAUAAGCCUCAUCUGGUUUUAGGACAGGUAAAAUGGGGGAAUUGUAGGGAGAGUUUAUAGGCUUUAAAAGGCCAUGCUGUAGCAGGCGAGUGAUAACAGACUUUAAUCCUUCUAAAGUGUGCUGUGGGAUGGGAUAUUGGCAUUGAGCAGGGUAAGGGUGAUUAGUUUUUACUGAGGGUUAUUGGGGUAGGGGCGAUGUUUCUCAGGGCUGCUUCAAGCAUGACUUAGGGGUGGCAUGGG
rnacentral:lncRNA from 1 species